ACCUGGCUGGCUCAGUCCCUAGAGCAUGUGACUCUUGAUCACAGGGUCGUGAGUUUAAGGCCCAUGCUGGGUG
rnacentral:tRNA from 1 species